rnacentral:rRNA from 1 species
GACGAACGCUGGCGGCGUGCUUAACACAUGCAAGUCGAACGGAAAGGCCUGCAGCUUGCUGCGGGUACUCGAGUGGCGAACGGGUGAGUAACACGUGGGUGAUCUGCCUUGCACUUCGGGAUAAGCUUGGGAAACUGGGUUUAAUACCGGAUAGGACAGCUGUUUAGUGUCAGUUGUGGAAAGUUUUUUCGGUGCAAGAUGAGCUCGCGGCCUAUCAGCUUGUUGGUGGGGUAAUGGCCUACCAAGGCGUCGACGGGUAGCCGGCCUGAGAGGGUGUACGGCCACAUUGGGACUGAGAUACGGCCCAGACUCCUACGGGAGGCAGCAGUGGGGAAUAUUGCACAAUGGGCGGAAGCCUGAUGCAGCGACGCCGCGUGGGGGAUGAAGGCCUUCGGGUUGUAAACUCCUUUCGACAGGGACGAAGCUUUUGUGACGGUACCUGUAGAAGAAGCACCGGCUAACUACGUG